AUGUAGAAACUCCUGAAGAGGUGACAGAGGGACAAACAGCAAAUCUGACAUGUAAAACCACCUGCAGUCUGACUGACCCAACAUUCAUCUGGUACAAAAAUGGACAUCCUUUAACCACCAAGAACAACCAGCUCCACCUGCAGACAGUCAGCAGUGAGGAUGCUGGUGAAAUAGUGGAGGGCAGUUCAGUGACUCUGACCUGCCUGCUGCAAACCCACCUGUGAAGAACUACACCUGGUUUAAGGAAGGUCCAACCUCACCUGUAGGAUCUGAACACAGUCACAACAUCAUCCACAUCACUGCUGACCACACUGGACUGUACUACAGUGUAGCUCGGAAUGAACAUGGAGCUCAGAAUGGGACUGUGAUGGUCACUGUUAAGAGUCAGACUUUGUCUGCAGUUUGGAUUGCAGUGGGAGGAGGAAGCUUUGUCCUCAUCAAUGUCUUCAUCUGCAUCUGCUUGAUGAAGAAAAGAGCCACUGGAACUGAUCACAGAGAGAUAAAACAAGUAGGAUGCCUACAAUUGAAAAGACCAUAUAAAGUAAUGCUGUACACUAGAAGGAUGAUGUCCUGUUGACCACCGUUACACACAGCAGAUCCAGACCUGUACAGGCUUCUGCUUCUGGUGACUCUGGAGCUGCUGACUCUACAGUCAGGAUUCAGAAUGAUGUAGUAACCAGCACUGACCAGCAGGGUGUCAGCAAUAUGACAG